GGGGAAUUAGCUCAAGUGGUAGAGUGCUCACUUUGCAUGCAAGAGGCAGUGGGAUGGAUACCCACAUUCUUCA
rnacentral:tRNA from 1 species